rnacentral:rRNA from 1 species
GACGAACGCUGGCGGCGUGCUUAACACAUGCAAGUCGAACGCUGAAGCUCAGCUUUUGUUGGGUGGAUGAGUGGCGAACGGGUGAGUAACACGUGAGUAACCUGCCCCCUUCUUUGGGAUAACGCCCGGAAACGGGUGCUAAUACUGGAUAUUCACUGGUCUUCGCAUGGGGGUUGGUGGAAAGGGUUUUUCUGGUGGGGGAUGGGCUCGCGGCCUAUCAGCUUGUUGGUGGGGUGAUGGCCUACCAAGGCUUUGACGGGUAGCCGGCCUGAGAGGGUGACCGGUCACGUUGGGACUGUGAUACGGCCCAGACUAGUACGGGAGGCAGCAGUGGAGAAUAUUGCACAAUGGGCGCAAGCCUGAUGCAGCGACGCAGCGUGCGGGAUGGGGGCCUUCGGAUUGUGAACCUCUUUCGCUCAUGGUCAAGCCGCAACAAUGGUUGUGGUGAGGGUAGUGGGUAAAGAAGCGCCGGCUAACUACGUG